GACGAACGCUGGCGGCGUGCUUAACACAUGCAAGUCGAACGGUGAAGCGCCUUCCUUUUUGGUGGGUGUGGAUGAGUGGCGAACGGGUGAGUAACACGUGAGUAACCUGCCCCCUUCUUCUGGAUAACCGCAUGAAAGUGUGGCUAAUACGGGAUAUUCUGGGUCUGUCGCAUGAUGGGUCUGGGAAAGAUAUUGUUUCGGUGGGGGAUGGGCUCGCGGCCUAUCAGCUUGUUGGUGGGGUGAUGGCCUACCAAGGCGGUGACGGGUAGCCGGCCUGAGAGGGUGGGCGGUCACACUGGGGCUGCGACACGGCCCAGACUCCUACGGGAGGCAGCAGUGGGGAAUAUUGCACAAUGGGCGCAAUCCUGCUGCAGCGACGCCGCGUGAGGGAUGGAGGCCUUCUGGUUGUGAACCUCUUUCGCCAGUGAAGCAGGCCUGCCUCGUUUGUGGGUGUGUUGACGGUAGCUGGAUAAGAAGCGCCGGCUAACUACGUG
rnacentral:rRNA from 1 species